rnacentral:snRNA from 1 species
AUCGGACGUCUUCGGCGUUCGA